AGGGUUUGAUCCUGGCUCAGAACGAACGCUGGCGGCAGGCCUCAUACAUGCAAGUCGAGCGGUCCUUCGGGACAGCGGCGAACGGGUUAGUAACGCGUGGGAACGUGCCCUUUAGUACGGAAUAGCCAUUGGAAACGAUGAUUAAUACCGUAUACGCCCCAAGGGGGAAAGAUUUAUCGCUAAAGGAUCGGCCCGCGUUAGAUUAGGUAGUUGGUAGGGUAACGGCCUACCAAGCCGACGAUCUAUAGCUGGUUUGAGAGGAUGAUCAGCAACACUGGGACUGAGACACGGCCCAGACUUCUACGGAAGGCAGCAGUAGGGAAUCUUGGACAAUGGGCGAAAGCCUGAUCCAGCCAUGCCGCGUGAGUGAUGAAGGCCCUAGGGUUGUAAAACUCUUUCGCCAGGGAAGAUAAUGACGGUACCUGGUAAAGAAACCCCGGCUAACUCCGUGCCAGCAGCCGCGGUAAUACGGAGGGGGUUAGCGUUGUUCGGAAUUACUGGGCGUAAAGCGCACGUAGGCGGAUUAAUAAGUCAGGGGUGAAAUCCCGAGGCUCAACCUCGGAACUGCCUUUGAUACUGUUAGUCUUGAGUUCGAGAGAGGUGAGUGGAAUUCCGAGUGUAGAGGUGAAAUUCGUAGAUAUUCGGAGGAACACCAGUGGCGAAGGCGGCUCACUGGCUCGAUACUGACGCUGAGGUGCGAAAGCGUGGGGAGCAAACAGG
rnacentral:rRNA from 1 species